rnacentral:lncRNA from 1 species
GAUGUGGACCGUUUUUAGAUACCAGUGGAUAGAUUUACUCUUAUCAUAGAUGAGAGUGGUGGUGGAAGCAAUACAUACCAACUUCCUCUCUACUGGUUCUUUCCUUAGAUUUUAACAUUUGAGACCAAGAACCCAACGGAAUUAGCAGAACGUCUGCGCUCUGUUUGUGGGAAUCAGAGCAACGCGUAUGCCCGCCUGCUGGAAUACCGCCUGAAUGCCUUGCGAGGACUGUGGAAUGCCCAGCGCCAGCUGGCCUUGGAAGAGCAGCAUGAAAGGGAGAGUUCAGGUGAUGAAGAAACUUUGGCCUUGCUCAAACGCCAGGGCUUGUUGCAGCAACCCGAGCAAGCUCCCUUCACAUCGAGGAUGGGGCUCCUGCUGGUCUUCCCCCUUAUUCAGUCCCAGAGUAGAACAGACCCCUCCCUCUGUAACAUCACUGCUGAGGUGCUAUUGAACUGCCUUCGCGACUGCCAGCCUUUGAGCCUGACCAAGGAGCCUGCUGACUGUCUCAAUGGAAUUGAAACUUUGCUGUGCUCCUGGCUAGAGGAGACUUCUGACACAGGCCGACAUAUCCCACAUAAGCAAAAAGAAAAUGCUGCUGCUGCCCUCGUGGCUUUGGCAUGUGCCAGGGGAUCAUUGAAAACUUUUGUUCAUACAGUCCAUCUAUUACAGAAACAGACUGAUUUAGGGUCCCUGCCUGUAGCCGAUGUGCUGUAUAGGUAAGCUGUCACUUUGGAUCCUCACCCUCCUUCUACACAAGUGAGCCUUGAGAAUUAAAGCUUUUCCAAUAAGUAAAUUGCUAAACUUUUUUUAAAAUCAAUUAAUGACUCAUGCUUUUAAGUAAGUG